CACCUGGACAGUAGACCCCUGUAGGGGGGCGAGGAUUACCCUGGAUUGCAUCACCAUGGGGAACAACGUCCACAAGAACAAGAAGAGGUUCCCUGCAGCUCGGAACGGAUCCUCUUCACGACCCAAAGGUUCUAUACCUGGUCCUAACCCCAGCCCCAACCCCCGCUCAGGCUCUAAACAUGGUGCUACCCCCUUCCCCAACCCGGGGAAGACCAAAGCCUUCUGGCACUUUGGGUGGGUGGAUAAACUGAAAACAGGUAGGAUCCGAGCUGGAUGAUCAGAGGGAAUGUUAUGUAUGGGAUUGUGUUUUCUUGUUUUUCGAUUUUAAUUGAUUUCAGCAGUCUGUGAUGUCACAGGCAUGAUGUCAUCUGUGUUCUAGAUAUUUCUAGAGAUAGUUCUGUCCCUCUGUGCAAUGAUCAUUGCUUGUCUUUGGUUGCGGUGACGAUGAUGUCAUAACAUGAAGACGUGCUGCCUUGGAGAGCUUAUUGUUUACAAUAUGAGGUAGUGGAAGAAUCGACAGUGACGGCAGAGUGUGCUGUCUGUGUAAAGACUCCAGGUGUUGUACUGAUAGUGUACUGUCUGUGUAAAGACUCCAGGUGUUGUACUGAUAGUGUACUGUCUGUGUAAAGACUCCAGGUGUUGUGUGGUAGUGGAAGAAUCGACAGCAACGGGAGAGUGUACUGUCUGUGUAAAGACUCCAGGUGUUGUGUGGUAGUGGAAGAAUCGACAGCGACGGCAGAGUGUACUGUCUGUGUAAAGACUCCAGAUAUUGUACUGAUAGUGUACUGUCUGUGUAAAGACUGCAGAUAUUGUCCUGAUAGUGUACUGUCUGUGUAAAGACUCCAGGUGUUGUACUGAGAGUGUACUGUCUGUGUAAAGACUCCAGGUGUUGUACUGAUAGUGUACUGUCUGUGUAAAGACUCCAGGUGUUGUACUGAUAGUGUACUGUCUGUGUAAAGACUCCAGGUGUUGUACUGAUAGUGUACUGUCUGUGUAAAGACUCCAGAUAUUGUACCGAUAGUGUGCUGUCUGUGUAAAGACUCCAGAUAUUGUACUGAUAGUGUACUGUCUGUGUAAAGACUCCAGAUAUUGUACUGAUAGUGUACUGUCUGUGUAAAGACUCCAGGUGUUGUACUGAUAGUGUACUGUCUGUGUAAAGACUCCAGAUAUUGUACUGAUAGUGUGCUGUCUGUGUAAAGACUCCAGAUAUUGUACUGAUAGUGUGCUGUCUGUGUAAAGACUCCAGAUAUUGUACUGAUAGUGUACUGUCUGUGUAAAGACUCCAGAUAUUGUACUGAUAGUGUACUGUCUGUGUAAAGACUCCAGAUAUUGUACUGAUAGUGUGCUGUCUUUGUAAAGACUCCAGAUAUUGUACUGAUAGUGUACUGUCUGUGUAAAGACUCCAGAUAUUGUACUGAUAGUGUGCUGUCUGUGUAAAGACUCCAGAUAUUGUACUGAUAGUGUACUGUCUGUGUAAAGACUCCAGAUAUUGUACUGAUACUGUGCUGUCUGUGUAAAGACUCCAGAUAUUGUACUGAUAGUGUGCUGUCUGUGUAAAGACUCCAGAUAUUGUACUGAUAGUGUACUGUCUGUGUAAAGACUCCAGAUAUUGUACUGAUAGUGUACUGUCUGUGUAAAGACUCCAGAUAUUGUACUGAUAGUGUGCUGUCUGUGUAAAGACUCCAGAUAUUGUACUGAUAGUGUACUGUCUGUGUAAAGACUCCAGAUAUUGUACUGAUAGUGUACUGUCUGUGUAAAGACUCCAGAUAUUGUACUGAUAGUGUACUGUCUGUGUAAAGACUCCAGAUAUUGUACUGAUAGUGUGCUGUCUGUGUAAAGACUCCAGAUAUUGUACUGAUAGUGUGCUGUCUGUGUAAAGACUCCAGAUAUUGUACUGAUAGUGUACUGUCUGUGUAAAGACUCCAGAUGUUGUACUGAUAGUGUACUGUCUGUGUAAAGACUCCAGAUAUUGUACUGAUAGUGUACUGUCUGUGUAAAGACUCCAGAUAUUGUACUGAUAGUGUGCUGUCUGUGUAAAGACUCCAGAUAUUGUACUGAUAGUGUGCUGUCUGUGUAAAGACUCCAGAUAUUGUACUGAUAGUGUACUGUCUUAUCCCUUUCAUACGUUUUCCAGCCAACUCAUUUCCUCCUUGUCUUUAAUAUCUGAACGGUAUUGCUGGUAUCAAAGCCUAAACUUGUAUUUCUGCCCAAGGCCCUAGUAAAGAUUUUGGUCAAGCUCUUUAAACUUUUGAUUGUUGCUAGGCAAUGUCAGUUUGCCAUCCUCCUGCCAGUUGUAACCUUAGUCCGUGUGACUUCGCCCGUC